rnacentral:rRNA from 1 species
UCAAGCUACAAAGGGCGCAUGGUGAAUGCCUUGGCAUCAGGAGCCGAUGAAGGACGUGAUAAGCUGCGAUAAGCUUCGGGUAGGCGCACAUAGCCAGUGAUCCGAAGAUUUCCGAAUGAGGGAACUCACAUGGGAAACCCCAUGUAUCCUGUAGUGAAUAAAUAGCUGCAGGAAGGUAAACCUAGGGAACUGAAACAUCUAAGUACCUAGAGGAAGAGAAAGAAAAAUCGAUUUUCUUAGUAGCGGCGAGCGAAAGGGAAAGAGCCCAAACCAGAGAUUUAUCUCUGGGGUUGCGGACAGAACAUUAAAUAAACUAAUUUGUAACCGAAGACAACUGGAAAGUUGUGCCGUAGAGUGUAAUAGCCACGUAGGUGAAACGAAGAGGUUUAGAGUUCUGAUCCAGAGUACCACGAGACACGUGAAACCUUGUGGGAAGCAGGGAGGACCACCUCCCAAGGCUAAAUACUACCUGAUGACCGAUAGUGAAGCAGUACCGUGAGGGAAAGGUGAAAAGAACCCCGGGAGGGGAGUGAAAUAGAACCUGAAACCGUGUGCCUACAACCGGUCAAAGCCCCUUAUGAGGGUGAUGACGUGCUUUUUGUAGAACGAGCCAACGAGUUACGGUAUGUAGCAAGGUUAAGUACUUAAGGUACGGAGCCUAAGGGAAACCGAGUCUUAAUAGGGCGACUAGUUGCAUGCCGUAGACCCGAAACCGGGUGACCUAUCCAUGGCCAGGUUGAAGCGGGGGUAAAACCCCGUGGAGGACCGAACCACGUUGCUGUUGAAAAAGCAUGGGAUGAGCUGUGGAUAGCGGAGAAAUUCCAAUCGAACUCGGAGAUAGCUGGUUCUCCUCGAAAUAGCUUUAGGGCUAGCGUCGGAUAUGAGUAAUGGAGGUAGAGCACUGAAUGGGCUAGGGGGCGUAUCGCUUACCGAACCUUAUCAAACUCCGAAUGCCAUAUACUAUGAGUCCGGCAGUCAGACUACGAAUGAUAAGAUCCGUGGUCAAAAGGGAAAAAGCCCAGAUCGUCAGCUAAGGUCCCAAAGUGUAAGUUAAGUGGUAAAGGAUGUGGGAUUUCUAAGACAACUAGGAUGUUGGCUUAGAAGCAGCCACUCAUUUAAAGAGUGCGUAAUAGCUCACUAGUCGAGAGAUCCUGCGCCGAAAAUGUCCGGGGCUCAAACUUACCACCGAAGCUACGGGCUCAAGUUUACUUGAGCGGUAGAGGAGCGUCGUAAUCGGGCUGAAGUCGUACCGUAAGGAGCGGUGGACUGAUUACGAGUGAGAAUGUUGGCAUUAGUAGCGAGAUGUAAGUGAGAAUCUUACAGGCCGAAAAUCUAAGGUUUCCUGGGGAAGGCUCGUCCGCCCAGGGUUAGUCGGGACCUAAGCCGAGGCCGAAAGGCGUAGGUGAUGGACAAUUGGUUGAUAUUCCAAUACCACUAUUAUCGUUAUUAUCGAUGGUGUGACGGAGAAGGAUAGGAUGUGCUAGCGAUUGGAAAUGCUAGUCUAAGCAUUUAGGGAGUUAAAGUAGGCAAAUCCGCUUUAACAAUUCUGAGGUGUGAUGGGGAAGGUCAUUUUGACUGAAGUAUCUGAUUCCAUGCUUCCAAGAAAAGCAUCUAGAGAGAGAAGUAGUGCCCGUACCGCAAACCGACACAGGUAGAUGAGGAGAGAAUCCUAAGGCCAUCGGAAGAAUUGCAGUUAAGGAACUAGGCAAAUUGACCCCGUAAGUUCGCGAGAAGGGGUGCCUGUGAGAGCAGGCCGCAGAGAAUAGGCCCAAGCAACUGUUUAGCAAAAACACAGGUCUCUGCUAAAGCGUAAGCUGAUGUAUAGGGGCUGACGCCUGCCCGGUGCUGGAAGGUUAAGGGGAACACUUAGCGCAAGCGAAGGUGUGAACUUAAGCCCCAGUAAACGGCGGCCGUAACUAUAACGGUCCUAAGGUAGCGAAAUUCCUUGUCAGGUAAGUUCUGACCCGC